rnacentral:rRNA from 1 species
AACGAACGCUGGCGGCAUGCCUAACACAUGCAAGUCGAACGAGACCUUCGGGUCUAGUGGCGCACGGGUGCGUAACGCGUGGGAACCUGCCCAUAUGUUCGGAAUAACUCCCCGAAAGGGGUGCUAAUACCGGAUAAUGUCUUCGGACCAAUGAUAUAUCGCCUAUGGUGGGGCCCGCGUUGGAAUAGCUGGUUGGUAGGGUAAAAGCCCACCAAGGCGGCGAUUCAUUGCUGGUAUGAGUGGAUGAUCAGCCACCCUGGGACUGGGACACGGCCCGGACUCUUAGGGAUGGGAGAAGGGGGGACUAAGGGACGCUGGGCGAGAGACGGAUGCCGCAGUGCCGCGAGAGUGAUGUAGGAGUUAGGAUUGUAUGGCUCAUUUACCCGGGAUGAUAAGAAGGGUACCGAUAAAAUAAGCACCGGCUAAUUCCGG